rnacentral:rRNA from 1 species
AGUGAACGCUGGCGGUAGGCCUAACACAUGCAAGUCGAACGGCAGCACAGUAAGAGCUUGCUCUUACGGGUGGCGAGUGGCGGACGGGUGAGGAAUACAUCGGCAUCUACUUUUUCGUGGGGGAUAACGUAGGGAAACUUACGCUAAUACCGCAUACGACCUACGGGUGAAAGCAGGGGAUCUUCGGACCUUGCGCGAUUGAAUGAGCCGAUGUCGGAUUAGAUAGUUGGCGGGGUAAAGGCCCACCAAGGCGACGAUCCGUAGCUGGUCUGAGAGGAUGAUCAGCCAAACUGGAACUGAGACACGGUCCAGACUCCUACGGGAGGCAGCAGUGGGGAAUAUUGGACAAUGGGCGCAAGCCUGAUCCAGCCAUACCGCGUGGGUGAAGAAGGCCUUCGGGUUGUAAAGCCCUUUUGUUGGGAAAGAAAAGCAGCAGGUUAAUACCCCGCUGUUCUGACGGUACCCAAAGAAUAAGCACCGGCUAACUUCGUG